rnacentral:rRNA from 1 species
CCUACGGGAGGCAGCAGUGGGGAAUAUUGGGCAAUGGACGCAAGUCUGACCCAGCAACGCCGCGUGAAGGAAGAAGGCUUUCGGGUUGUAAACUUCUUUUAAGGGGGAAGAGCAGAAGACGGUACCCCUUGAAUAAGCCACGGCUAACUACGUGCCAGCAGCCGCGGUCAUACGUAGGUGGCCAGCGUUGUCCGGAUUUACUGGGUUUAAAGGGCGUGCAGCCGGAGAGACAAGUCAGAUGUGAAAUCCACGGGCUCAACCCGUGAACUGCAUUUGAAACUGUUUCCCUUGAGUGUCGGAGAGGUAAUCGGAAUUCCUAGUGUAGCGGUGAAAUGCGUAGAUAUUAGGAAGAACACCAGUGGCGAAGGCGGAUUACUGGACGAUAACUGACGGUGAGGCGCGAAAGCGUGGGUAGCAAACAGGAUUAGAUACCCCUGUAGUC